CAAGUUUCUGCCUUUUCUUGGAAAGCUUUUCUGUUAAGGCAGUGCUGACCGCUGGGUCCUGAGGCUGUGCCUGGGUACUUCACAGCUACGCCUCUGCUUUCAGAGCUGAAUCCUUGCAGAUUUGAAGAGCAGGGCUGGACCCAAAAGGUCGUGAGCACAAGUGGCACGCAGUGCUGUGCUUGGCCGUGCACUUGCAAUCUCUUGUCUCACCUGCAGGCUGGAAGAGGACAUGGGGAUGUGCUGUGUCCCAGGAACAACAGGACAUUCUGUGCAGAAUUUCACGAAAGGAUUGUGGAAAAUGUUUUCUUCCCAACAAGUUCCACUUUUCCUGUGUACGACUAAUGCAACUAUUUCAAAUAUAAAGUAUUACAGAGGUAAAUGCUAAAUAUAUGCUCUCUGGGCAGGUUACCUCAGCUUUGAGAAGGCUGUUGCUAUUUACCGAUGUAUUAGGUUUUUAGACAGAGCCUUUCUGUGGUUCGAGGCAGACUCACAGAUAUUCCAGUAAGUAACUAGUUGGAGAAAUAGUUUCCCUUCCAAAAAUACACUUUCACUUUUCAUAUUAAUUUAUUAGCUUUAACAGUUCUUGCUAAAUUCCUCUUUUUUAUGUCUGAAUAAUUUAUAGUAGCCCCGUAUAGAAGUAUUUCAACUUAAGUGUCAAAAACUUCAAAUCUAGGGGAAUGCUGUUGUUUACUUUAGACGUUUGUUUUAUUGCAAGGAGCUGUAUUGUGAAGAAAUGGUUGACCUUUAUGCUGCCUGUCCUACUGCUGCUCAGCUUCAGUUGAUCAGAAUUAGGACCUCUGUCCAAAGAGAGAAAUAAAACUUACUACAGCAAGGCUUGUCACUUAGGUUGUGCUAAAGGAAGAUACAUGAAGAACAGUUCCUAUUAAUAUCCAAAUCUUAGUCUGUACUUUCCUUAAAAUAGGCAAUUAAAAAUAGGCUAAUACUGGCUAUAUUGGAGGACAUUUCUCUGUAGUACAAGAAAAACAUUUUAUUGGAGAUUGGCCUUGCACGUGGUGAUGGCUAAAGACAUCUGUCAACAAAGGAGAAGAUUUCUUUGAUGUAAAAUGAUGUGAAACAGGAUUUGAUUCACAGGAGCAUUUUGACUAAAAUUCCCCAAACUGC